rnacentral:tRNA from 1 species
GGAGAGAUGGCCGAGCGGCUGAAGGCAACGGUUUGCUAAACCGUCGUACCUGGAAUCCCGGGUACCGCGGGUUCGAAUCCCGCUCUCUCCG